rnacentral:rRNA from 1 species
CCUACGGGGGGCAGCAGUGAGGAAUAUUGGUCAAUGGACGAGAGUCUGAACCAGCCAAGUAGCGUGAAGGAGGACUGCCCUAUGGGUUGUAAACUUCUUUUAUAUGGGAAUAAAGUGUUCCACGUGUGGGAGUUUGUAUGUACCAUAUGAAUAAGGAUCGGCUAACUCCGUGCCAGCAGCCGCGGUAAUACGGAGGAUCCGAGCGUUAUCCGGAUUUAUUGGGUUUAAAGGGAGCGUAGGUGGAUUGGUAAGUCAGUGGUGAAAGUUUGCGGCUCAACCGUAAAAUUGCCGUUGAAACUGGCAGUCUUGAGUACAGUAGAGGUGGGCGGAAUGCGUGGUGUAGCGGUGAAAUGCUUAGAUAUCACGAAGAACUCCGAUUGCGAAGGCAGCUCACUGGACUGCAACUGACACUGAGGCUCGAAAGUGUGGGUAUCAAACAGGAUUAGAUACCCUAGUAGUC